CGUUACCUACGGGAGGCAGCAGUAGGGAAUUUUCGUCAAUGGGCGCAAGCCUGAACGAGCAAUGCCGCGUGAACGAGGAAGGUCUUCGGAUCGUAAAGUACUGUUGAAGGGGAAAAAGAGCGGUGAGAGGAAAUGGUCUCCGAUUGAUAUUACCCUUCGAGGAAGUCACGGCUAACUACGUGCCAGCAGCCGCGGUAAUACGUAGGUGGCGAGCGUUAUCCGGAAUGAUUGGGCGUAAAGGGUGCGUAGGCGGCCUGCUAAGUCUGGAGUGAAAUGUACCGGCUCAACCGGUACAGGCUCGGGAA
rnacentral:rRNA from 1 species